AUGUCGCUUAAGUCAGUUGUUUAUUUUUUCUGCUAAUCAAAAUAGAAAGGCUUAAACAGAAUGAAGAAAAAAAAUCUAAAAGGGAUCAAUGUAUUAUCACAUUAUUGUAAAUGUUUUAAGGACUCAAGCAAAUAUUAAUAAUCAUAAAUUUACCCAGAAGGCAGGACAAUGCUGAAAUCAAAACCUUUUUUCAUGAAAUGAAAAAUGGCUUCAAAAAAGAAAUCUCCUGAAUCUAAGAGAGAGUUAUUGGAAUUUAAAAAGAUAAAUAAGAGAAUUUGUUAUAUCAAUUGCUUAGUAAGAAGUGUUAUGUCAUUGAUUUAUUUUUAAAAUAUUUUUUAAGUGAGAUGUUCUAUUUCUACAGCUACUAUUGGAAUAAAUAGCGACAAAUCUAUGAAAGUAUUUUUUAAAGAUAUUUUUAUCAAUUUUUAAAAGCUAUAAUGAGUGUUAUGAUCAAAAAAUAUAAAAGAAAUAGAACAAGUAUUCAUGAGUUGCCAACUAAUUCAAAUAUCUAUGCCGAUAUUAAAUCUAAAAUGUAAAAACACUUUUAGAUUUGCUUUCAUCACUUUUACUCGACCCAAUCAUCUUAUAUUAAUAGUAUUGGUACAGAAAGUUUUGUCUUCAUUGUCAGAAUUAAUUAAGAUUUACUGCGAUACUUUCUACGUCUAUUGACAAGGUCACCAUAAAUGCGGUAAAGUGGUACGACAAUGAGGCCGUUCAUUCGAUGAACACGUUUCGCGAAGUUGAACCAGUAGACAUAGUGAAAAGGUGGGACAAAAAAAUAAACAGAAUAAUCAAUGUACAACGAUCAAAUAUAGUGAAAACAUACAACCAACACAUGGGUGAGGUAGAUUUGGUUGAUUCAUUGAUAGCGUUGUAUCGAAUUUAAGAAUAUAUAAGAAUCAAAAUUCGAUCAAAGAAGUGCUACCACCGCAUUAUGUUUCACCUCUUAGAUUUGAUGGUGGUCAAUGCUUGGCUCUUAUAUAAGCGAGAUUGAUCAUUGUAUUCUGUAAGCCCCGGCCGUCAGUAUAGUUUAUUGAAAUUUAAAACUGACAUUGCAUCUUGUUUAUGUCAGGAACACAAAGGAACCCAAUAGAAAAGGGAACAUCCUACUUCAAAUGAGAUAUAUAAACAAUUGCAAAAUAAAAAAAGAAAAGAGACCAAAUACAACGCUGUAGAAACGUGCGAAAAGAUGACUAAAACAUUGGUCAAUUUCUUCGGAUAACAGAAGACGUUGCAGGAUGUAAAGCAGUUCCGAAAAUUAAAUGUUACAAAUGUAAUAUUCAUUUAUGUUUAAUGCCAAGUGCAAACUGUUUUGUAAAAUUCCACGCUUAAGUUUUCACACACAAAAGUGGGAACAUUAUAGGCCGUUGUAACCUGAAAGUCACAUAGUGAAUAUACUGCAAUGAAAUUAUUUGAACAGAAAUUUUUUUUUUCAUUUUUAUAUGUAGGUUUAUGAUUGCUGAUUUUUCCUUCCCCCAAUUUUUUUGGAUUUAAAACAAUAGUUCGGUCCAUAGAGGAUUAAUUCACUGAGAUUUUUUUACUUUAUAUCGAGUUAAUAGAAUGGACUUUUUUUUUGUAAUAUAUAUUGUUCUGAUUUGUUUUUCGACUCGCUAUUAUUUUUAUAACCGAUUACUUAUAAUAAAUUCCUUAUCUUAAUGUAAUUAUAUCGAUUCAAUUCGUCAUUUUUAUAAAUAUCUAACAAUUGUAUAUAAGUUUUGAUAUUAUAGUAUUUUAUAUAAUCUUUCUUUUUCUGCCAUUUGAUCAUAUAUAUAUUUUCCAUUAUUAGUAUUUUAGACUUAUAAUAAAUUGUUCAAUAUAUUAAUUUCUAUAUUCAAGUCAAAGUAUUGGAAUCGAAUAAAUGUUUAAUGAUAAACAAUAAAUAAUAAUAAAAGUGUUGUAUCUUUGUA